rnacentral:rRNA from 1 species
GGGAGCUGCCGAAGGUGGGGCCGAUAACUGGGGUGAAGUCGUAACAAGGUAGCCGUAUCGGAAGGUGCGGCUGGAUCACCUCCUUUCUAAGGAA